rnacentral:rRNA from 1 species
UUACACAUGCAAGUCGCACGGGCAGUGCACCUGUCAGUGGCGGACGGGUAGAGUAUCGCAUGAAUCUAUCCUUGUGGUUGGGGACAACCGUGGGAAACUACGGCUAAUACCGCAUGAUCCCUGAAGGGGCAAAGUGCGAAAGUCGCCUGAGGAGGAGCCUGCGUCUGAUUAGGUAGUUGGUGGGGUAAAGGCCUACCAAGCCUUCGAUCAGUAAGCUGGUCCUGAAAGGAUGAUCAGCCACACUGGGACUGAGACACGGCCCAGACUCCUACGGGAGGCAGCAGUGGGGAAUAUUGGACAAUGGGCGAAAGCCUGAUCCAGCAAUGCCGCGUGGAUGAAGAAGGUCUUCGGAUAGUAAAGUCCUUUUGGCGGGGACGAUGAUGACGGUACCCGCAGAAUAAGCUCCGGCUAACUUCGUGCCAGCAGCCGCGGUAAUACGAAUGGGGCUAGCGUAGCUCCGGAAUGACUAGGGCGUAAAGGGCGCCGUAAGACAGAACGGCACAGACAGGGCAAUGCAAUUCCUGAGGCUCAACCAUAGGGACUGCGUCAUAGACAUGAAGUCUAGAGUAAGACAAA